rnacentral:lncRNA from 1 species
AUAUUGCUCACAGUACUAUUAAAAAUCUUAGAUGUAGUCUUCACAAAUAACUCUCAUUUUAAGGGCUAGUGCGCUUUCUUUUCAGUCCCAAAUUUACCUGCUGUGCUAAUGCAGUGUCCUCUCACAUUCUUUGUGGAAAAUUAAUUACUUGAGUAAUAAGGAUAUAUAAAAAAAAAAUAAUCUUCAAACAGGUUACAAAGAGUUGUUUGCACUGAAGGGAAGUUGCCCACUGCAUUUUAAGUUUGCAGCAUGAAUAAAUCUCUUUGUGUUCUCAUUUCAGGGCUUUCUCACAUGCUGUGUCCCACCAUUGUGCCUGGAAGGGAGAGACAAGUACAGCCUUUUGGGCUGGCUAACCUUGUCCCAGAAGGAUUGCUCUUAAAGACCAUUUUCUGCUCUUUGCAAUCUUAAAUCCCAUGGGAGGAGAAACUUCCCCCGCCGCCCCAGAGGCAGGCUUGCCCUCUAUUACAUUUCACUUUAAGGAAAUAUUUUCCUGAUCUUCAGCCUUUAUGUCUCACUUGCUUAAUUCCUUCCCACUGCACCUAGUUAAAUUCCCUUGUACAAUCCUAAAUAAUUAAUCACCUCCUUCAUUCAUUUCAAACACUUGUUGAAUACAGAGCAGAGAAAAAGAAUUGCUCAUAGGAAGAAAAGAAACGGGAACUGGAUGAGAGAGGACCAGUUGAGAGGCGAGGAAUGGGGAAAGAACGAUGCUCCAAGCAUAAAAUCCAAGCUGCUGACCUUGAAGGCUGAAGAUCUCAAAUUUUUAAGCAAGUCCAGAAAUGCAUUCUUAGACUGCAAGGGCUCCUUCCUGGCAGAAGGCAUGACCAUUGUGCACUGUGUCCAGCUACCACGAGCUGAACACCCAACCAGUAUGCUAAAAUCUCUGCACCGGGAUCCCUUCCUCAUUCUCCUUCAGUGGAGAACAAGCAAUUUCUCCAGAUAA